AUAGGUCGGUUUGAAUUGCUUCAACACUGACUUUUUUACCCGUGUGUCGUGCCAGAAUUCAGCGGGUGAUCUUCGCCGAUUGUCCGUUAGAACUGACAGGUUACUUGAAAAAAUUAGAGUGCUCAAAGCAAGCUUGAUUGCUUGAAUAUUCGUGCAUGGAAUAAUAGAAUAGGACGUCGUUUCUAUUUUGUUGGUUUUCGGAAAUCGACGUAAUGAUUAAUAGGGAUAGUCGGGGGCAUUUGUAUUCAAGCGACAGAGGUGAAAUUCUUGGACCGUUUGAAGACAAACUACUGCGAAAGCAUUUGCCAAGAAUGUUUUCAUUAAUCAAGAACGAAAGUUAGAGGUUCGAAGGCGAUUAGAUACCGCCCUAGUUCUAACCAUAAACGAUGCCAGCUAGCGAUCUGCCGGUGUUUGAUUUUCUGACUCGGCAGGCAGCUUCCGGGAAACCAAAGCUUGUGGGUUCCAGGGGAAGUAUGGUUGCAAAGCUGAAACUUAAAGGAAUUGACGGAAGGGCACCACCAGGAGUGGAGCCUGUGGCUUAAUUUGACUCAACACGGGAAAUCUCACCAGGCCCGGACACCAGAAGGAUUGACAGAUUGAUAGCUCUUUCUUGAUUUGGUGGGUGGUGGUGCAUGGCCGUUCUUAGUUGGUGGAGUGAUUUGUCUGGUUAAUUCCGAUAACGAACGAGACUCUGUCCUGUUAAAUAGAUCCAACCUAGAUCAAGGGUUGGAAUGUCUUCUUAGAGGGACUGGUGAUUAUUAGUCACACGAGAUUGAGCAAUAACAGGUCUGUGAUGCCCUUAGAUGUUCUGGGCCGCACACGCGCUACACUGAAGUGAUCAGCUAGUUACUCCCUCCCCGAGAGGGGCGGGUAAACUGUUGAACCCACUUCGUGGUAGGGAUCGGAGCUUGCAAUUAUUCUCCGUGAACCAGGAAUUCCCAGUAGGUGCAAGUCAUAAGCUUGCAUCGAUUACGUCCCUGCCCUUUGUACACACCGCCCGUCGCUACUACCGAUUGAGUGUUUUAGUGAGGACCUCGGAUUGCUUGCCUGGCGGUUCGCGCUGCCUAGCUGGCGAAAAGACGUCCAAACUGUAGCACUAGA
rnacentral:rRNA from 1 species